CGGGGUGUAGCGCAGUCCGGCUAGCGCACCUGAAUGGGGUUCAGGUGGUCCCGAGUUCAAAUCCCGGCACCCCGACCA
rnacentral:tRNA from 1 species